rnacentral:lncRNA from 1 species
CGUCAAUAUUCCGGUUACCCCCUUAUCUCUCCGUAGACAUUAGCUGAUAUAGCUAUCAGUUCAUCCUCUCACACCGUCUACCCUGUCCAUAUGGCUACACAUCUCACACAUAUACGUUAUUUUUAUAUUCAUCUUUAAAAUGAAUAUGAAAAUGAUUCGUACUACGUCAACUGCUAUUAAAUGUCAAUGAAAAAUUAAACCUGUCCAGAAUACCAUCUGGAGGGAGACUAAGGGCCAAUGAAGGUACUCAAACUGAUUUAGUCGACACAUAAAUAGAGUAAGGAGUGGAGUGGAGUGAAGCAGACGAGAUGGUGGCGACUUGUACAUAUGAGGCAACCAACCUUGGUCGCUAUCAUUUGUUUCCAGCUGUCAACCAAGGUGGAAAAAAUACCAUGGUUCACAGGUGCUACCAAACUCACGUCUCCCUCAUGCAUGAAAUAAUUGAGGGAUAUUCCUGCGCGGGCCCUAAGCCUCUGGCUGGCCCAGUGUGGUUUAUGAUUUCAUCUGCAUGCUAAUGGCCCUUAACAGGCUCUUGAUGUCAUCUGUGAUCAGGAACUGGUUCAUCAAAUGUUAUUUAACUAUAGUUUCUUUUUUUAUCGGGGCAAAACAACACAUUUUCUCAUUUGUACUCAUUGUUUUAAACAAAAAAAAUAUUAUAUAUAAAGUUGAUGUGCUUUAUAUUUACAAUACAUAUUUUUAUACUUUAUCAAGUUAUAUAGCCAGAAUUAACUACAAAGCCUUUUUAAUUUGCAACUUUAUUCAAGUUAAUUAAAUUAAUAUUGGAGAUGCCCUUUCGGGAGCAGGACACAAGUUUACAAGGGUUCGAGCCCAGGGGAAGGGAGGAUUAAUAACGGGGCAUUAAUUCUAAACUGUUCGACUGUUUACAGCAAAUUUUGAGGACCUUGUUGUAAAUCGAAUGGCGUGGUAAUGUUCCAGACAAAAAACAAUUAGGAUAAGGCAUAAAAUGAGCUUUUGACUGAAUAAUUUGUCUCUGAGCAAUGCAGGAGAUGUAGGGUCUCUCAUGACCUUAAGGCAAAAGGUCGUGUAAAGAUACAAGACUCAGCGGACCAAUGAAAGUAGAACAGUAAGGGGCAGGGUUUAUUUUCAUCAUUUCUAUGGUUUAAACACGAGUGACCGAAGCGUAAUACUUCUAGGCAAUGAUGUUUCCAUUCCAUGUUUUGAUCAUAUGAGGAAAACCAGUUUAGUAAAUUUUUAUGUAACUAUUUUCAGCAGUAGCUAAUCACCAAUUUUCUCAAUGUUUGCCUAUAGCAAAAUGGGUAAAAACCGGCAUAUAGAAAUCGUUUUUUUGCUGGUGAUGGUCACUUCUCUCUAGGUUAGAUUUCUCACGACUAUAGGUGACUUCACCAAGCAGUUAUCACAAGAAAGCACUUAGCCAGGAUGGCCACAUAUCAUCACUUGAUUUGAUUGUUGUUGCUGGAAACAUCAACACUAUUAUGUACCCCAUCCUGUGAGCGAUAGCACAAAAUAGGAUUACAUGGGGCAAAAUAGGAUUACAGAGGCCCCAAAAGAUCUUUAUCUGACCUCAACGGAGUUUAUUGCAUUAACAAUUACAUCCAUCCUGCAUACCUUAUAAUUAUAAUGUCACCUGGUUGCAGAGAUUUUUAAUUUUAAUUAAUAGUUACAACUAUUAUACAGUGAUGGUCUUUUCGCUAAUAUAUAACUAUUUGUAUACAGGAUCAGGGAUAUUAUAGGACCAUCAAAAAACCUGUUGUUUAUUAUUAUUAGUCUUCACGCUACAUUCAUCCUGGGGAAGCCUAGGAGGCCAGGCUUGACAUCCCUUCUAACCUUCGUCUCAUCUUUAUCCUUCCACGAAAAUCAAUCACUCUACAAUGCACUGUAUGUAGUCUUGAGUCUCGAACACAUUCCUAGAACUUAUCCUUCAAUGAUCAAAAUUCUAAUCUGUACAGGUUUCAUUAGACACUUAGAACAUUAAUAAAACAAACGCAUCGCUCA